UACGUAGGGGGCUAGCGUUGUCCGGAAUCAUUGGGCGUAAAGCGCGCGUAGGCGGCUUUGCAAGUCGGGUGUGAAAUCCCCAGGCUUAACCUGGGAACUGCAUUCGAGACUGCAUUGCUAGAGUAUGGGAGAGGGAAGUGGAAUUUCCGGUGUAGCGGUGAAAUGCGUAGAUAUCGGGAGGAACAUCAGUGGCGAAAGCGACGUCCUGGGCCAAUACUGACGCUCAUGUGCGAAAGCGUGGGGAGCAAACAGG
rnacentral:rRNA from 1 species